GCCGUGUCGAAACUCAAAAAGAAACUUUGCUUAGGCAUCGGGGGCAAGCCCGACCACCGAACUACGCCGGCGAACCAAAAUCCGACGACAAUUUAUUGAAGUAUUUCCACAGCCGCCGGAGAAGACGCUUUAGCAAAAGGAUAUAAUAGAUAGAAGAAGGGUGUGCACUGUGAAGUGGAGCCGAGGAGGAUUGAACUAUGGC
rnacentral:misc_RNA from 1 species